CUCUGAUGAUUCGUUCGUUCAUUCACCCACUGGGUAAUGGUUCACGGAGUGCUUACUGGGUGCCUUGCACACUCUUUGGCACUGGGGUGAACACACAGAGACAAAAAUCCCUGCCUUCAGGGAACAGACAUUCUAGUGAGAGAGAUAAUCGAUAACAAACGGAGGCGCACACAAUUAAUGUUGUCCUUAGAGCCGCUGGGGACACUUGUCGCUCCCUGCCUUCCUGGCACGUGGUAAAAUUCAACCCUCUGACCCCGGUGGUUGGCUGGGGCCUUGUGACAUAUGCUGACCAACGAGGCGGGAGCAGAAAAUGCCCUUCCUUCAGGGCCAGAGCGUUCCAUUGCCAUUGUGAGACCCUACAGGGUACGUGCUCCCUCUGCCACCGUGACCAGCGAUGUCCCAGGCCAGCCUGGGUGCCUAGGAGAUGAGACAGGACACUCAGCCCUCCCGCGUAGACAUGUGGGGUAGUAAGCAUUUAGUUUAUGUAUUUUAGACCACGGAGAUCUGAGGAUGGUUUGUUCUCACGACCUAACCUCACCAAGGCUGACGGAUGCAGGAGGCGUAAGCAUUACGCUCUAGCUCCGGGACAGCCAGGAAAGUGUCUUAUUAUUCAUCUCCAACUCAAGAGCCUGGAGGUGUCAGGUUCACAUCCGGCACAGGCUGGUUGGGGCUGAAUUGAAUCACAUUCACACACACACACACACACACACACACGCACGCAAUCAUCAUCAUCAUGAGAACUAGCAUUUACUGAGUGUUUACUAUGUGCCAAGAACAGUCCUAAGUGGUUACAAAUGCCUGAACGCCUUUGAUCUUACAAUAACCAUAGGAAGUAGACCCUCUUAUUCUUCCCAUGUUCCCCAAAACUGAGGUAUAGAGAAGUUAAGACACUUGUCCAAGGUCACACAGCUAGUAAGUGGCCGAGGCAGGAUUUGAACCCAGAGGGACAGGCUCCAGAGCCCAUGCUACUAACUGUCACAUAAAACCCCAGCCUCCCCCUUAUACAAGAGGGUCUACACGGACGUGUGCAGGCACACACGCACACACACGCAGAAUCUCCUGUGGGGCAGUGUCCUUAGGGCAGCAGCAGAGGAAGCCAGCCCUACUACCCCUCCCACCCGCCUCCACCGAGCUCGGCGCCCCCCUCCACUCCUGGCUGUCACACUCUGGGGUGAAGUGGCCCAUCUGUCUCCAACACAAAGGAUCAGGCAGGGGUGGGGGCCAGAGGCCCCAGAGGGGUUGUGUAAAUGGCUCUGCUUUGAGCAACAGCUAAUUUCUAAACAUAAUUAUUAAUUUCAUGCUUAUCAUAUGCAAACCUCUGUCUCCCAGACGAGAUGAAAUUGAUUUAAUUAGAAAUUCCACCAUCAAGCCUUUUGGAUCCAAGCUUUUAAUUAGGAUCGCCAACCCCACCCAAGGCUGCCAGAAAGUGGGCUCCUGGCCCCUGCUUCUCGUCCCAAGGCCCCAGGCAGAGCCAGGGUGUGUGGGCACCUCCAGUGUCACCAGAGCUCCACUGGCCAGGCCAGGGUCCCUUGCUGGGACCACUACCCAUGUCCCACCCCACACAGGGUGACACGGCCCCCCUGGCAUCACAAUGGGGAGACAGCUUGGAGACAACUCAUAUCAUCUCAUAGCAGGAAGGACUGGGGUGUUUAAGGUGGGAAGGAGACAGGAGAAAUAAUAGACCUCCCCUCCUCAUGCAAAAUUCGCAUGCCAGCUUCCCUUUGGGAGACCCUGCCAGCUCCAUGAAUCCAGGGACCUUUCCUUCAUUCCCCACCGGACGCCCGGCACAGAUCUGGCACGGGGCAGGUGCCCAAUAAGCAAAGGGGCCACUUCAUUCUUGCCACACAAGCAGCCCGAGGACACGCUCCACGGGGUCGUAAGCACCUUAGACGAGGAGCCCGGGAAAAAACGGGGCACGAUAAGGCACGGAGGCCGGAGAAGAACAGAGGGCGCAGAGUGGAGGGCCUCGGCCGGCUGACAAAGGAGCCGCUCGGAUGCAGACUCCAAGGAAUUACCGCCGAUAAGAGCACAGGCGGGGGAGCGCGCGGUGCAAGGGCGAGAGCAAACAAGAUCCUCAAUCAGCACUUGUCCUAUUUCAUAAGCAAAAUGUAGAUCAAUAAAUUACACUCACUUGUGCAGGUUUUA